rnacentral:ncRNA from 1 species
UUUAUUGAGAGUUUGAUCCUAGCUCAGGAUGAACGCUGGCGGCGUGGAUAAGGCAUGCAAGUCGAAAGGGUUUAGGCCCUUGGCAAACGGGUUAGUAAUGCAUAGGAACUUUCCUUGAAGUCGUGAAUAAUCUGGAGAAAUCCAGAAUAAUACACGAUGUGCUCUACGGAGUAAAGAUUUAUCGCUUCAAGAGAGGCCUAUGUCCUAUCAGCUAGUUGGUAGUGUAAUGGACUACCAAGGCUAUGACGGGUAGGGGGUGUGAGAGCACGGCCCCCAACAUUGGGACUGAGAACU